rnacentral:misc_RNA from 1 species
AGGAACCGAAUACGGGAAAACUGCACGUCCGGGUCUUCUGUGCGGGGGGCGUCCAGUGGCGAGCAUCCCUACCGCAAA